AUUGAACGCUGGCGGCAGGCUUAACACAUGCAAGUCGAGCGGGGGGAGGUAGCUUGCUACCUAACCUAGCGGCGGACGGGUGAGUAAUGCUUAGGAGUCUGCCUAUUAGUGGGGGACAACAUCUCGAAAGGGAUGCUAAUACCGCAUACGCCCUAAGGGGGAAAGCAGGGGAUCUUCGGACCUUGCGCUAAUAGAUGAGCCUAAGUCGGAUUAGCUAGUUGGUGGGGUAAAGGCCUACCAAGGCGACGAUCUGUAGCGGGUCUGAGAGGAUGAUCCGCCACACUGGGACUGAGACACGGCCCAGACUCCUACGGGAGGCAGCAGUGGGGAAUAUUGGACAAUGGGGGGAACCCUGAUCCAGCCAUGCCGCGUGUGUGAAGAAGGCCUUUUGGUUGUAAAGCACUUUAAGCGAGGAGGAGGCUACCGAGAUUAAUACUCUUGGAUAGUGGACGUUACUCGCAGAAUAAGCACCGGCUAACUCUGUGCCAGCAGCCGCGGUAAGAC
rnacentral:rRNA from 1 species